GUAGGUGGCAAGCGUUGUCCGGAAUUAUUGGGCGUAAAGCGCGCGCAGGCGGUUCUUUAAGUCUGAUGUGAAAGCCCACGGCUCAACCGUGGAGGGUCAUUGGAAACUGGAGAACUUGAGUACAGAAGAGGAAAGCGGAAUUCCACGUGUAGCGGUGAAAUGCGUAGAGAUGUGGAGGAACACCAGUGGCAAAGGCGGCUUUCUGGUCUGUAACUGACGCUGAGGCGCGAAAGCGUGGGGAGCAAACGGGGGAUUAGAUACCCUGGUAGUCCACGCCGUAAACGAUGAGUGCUAAGUGUUAGGGGGGUUUCCGCCCCCUUAGUGCUGCAGCUAACGCAUUAAGCACUCCGCCUGGGGAUACGGCCGCAAGGCUG
rnacentral:rRNA from 1 species